rnacentral:lncRNA from 1 species
CUUUGGUGUAGGAAAGAGGGAAACCAGAAUGACGGCUGAUAGUUACAGAGCCUCUGAUUACAAAUAAAAACAAGUGAACCUGCCAUGAUGGAGAAACCAGGACGCAAUCCACUCUCCAAAUAGAAGUGUUUACAGCAUGUGAACGUGAGAUCAAGGAAGCUGGGCAAUGUGAACUGCCUGAACCCCACAGGUCACUGAACUGAAACAGGAAAUCAGAAGAAAGGCAAGGGAGAAAAAACAUUCUUGGGAGGGGGAAAAGACAGCAUAAACAAGAACAGGAAGGGGAAUGCAGGUAUGUGCUGGCCCCUCCCAACAGCCUGUAUGGCUGCUGUCUGCUGGCAACUUCUACCCUCAAUAAGGAAGAGAACAGGCCCAAGCAAAGGGCAGAGAAUGGUUUCAAGAUGCUUUCCUGCUUUUGGGAGACCACCAUCCCAAACUCUGGGACAUUUUGUGUUUCAGAGGAUCUAUCAAGGGGCAGAGCACUGUGGAUUUUGCUAUAAUAUUAAGGACAAGCCAGUCAGUAGUUAGACAGUGAAUGCACCUAAUAAUUCGGUACUGCGGGGACGAAAUACUCAAAGCUCUUCUUUCCUUUGGAGUAAAGAAAACCCCUGUGGCAGCUCUCCCAUAAGAGGCUCUCAAGAUGGGUUUUCUUCGUACAAAAAUAAGAAACAAAGGUUCCAGAUGGAGAGGCUCACAUUGUCGGCAGAUUUAGAAAAACUCCCCUGGAAUCUGUAUGGGUGAUGCAGUUUGGUGCAGACUGACAAGUGUGUGAGAGGCUCCUGGCAACUUGUCUGCCUGGUCAGGACAGCUCAGCCACCAAUGAGGAGAAUGUACAACAGCUCAACUGAAAGUUUUGAGAAGACAGAAGAUGGUAAAAUAAAAUGAAAUAAAAUAAAAUCAAGGAAAUAAAACAGGAAGAGAAGAAUCCACAGAUACUAGGAACACGAUCACUAUACAUAUAACAAAGUGAGUUCAUCUGGAUCAGCC